GGAUGAAAAAGGUAGCACACAAUGCUGUGAAGAAAACUUAUGACAAGAUAGUUUUUGGAAUACACAGUCACUGCAGCAAGCUCAGUCAUGUGUAGUGCUUUUUAUAUUCUCCCUAAUGAUAUAAUUAUCUUAAACCAAACUAGUUAACCAACUGAAAAGUAUUGGCAAACAGUUUUCAUGGUAAUAAACUACAGCUAAAGUAUUAUCUAGAGCUACGGAAUCUGUUGGUGCUAUGUAAAUGGUGAUAAUAUUAAAGGGAAACUUCAUUUUCCAGGAAUUUUAAUGUUUACUUACCCUCUAUAUUUAUUAAAG